rnacentral:rRNA from 1 species
GUCUACAGCCAUGCCACCCUGAACAAGCCCGAAGUCUGAUCUCGGAAGCUAAGCAGAGCCUGGUUAGUACUUGGAUAGGAGACUACCUAGGAAGACCAGGUGCUGUAGGCA